GACAAACGCUGGCGGCGUACCUAAGACAUGCAAGUCGAACGGGGCUCACCGCUUCGGCGGGGAGUCGAGUGGCGGACGGGUGAGUAACGCGUAGGAACCUGUCGAGCAGUGGGGGAUAACGCUGGGAAACCGGCGCUAAUACCGCAUGUGAUCGGGAGACCGAAGAAAGCAGCAAUGCGCUGUUUGAGGGGCCUGCGUCCGAUUAGCUUGUUGGUGGGGUAAGGGCCUACCAAGGCAUCGAUCGGUAGCUGGUCUGAGAGGAUGGUCAGCCACACUGGGGACU
rnacentral:rRNA from 1 species